rnacentral:tRNA from 1 species
UUGUUACUUUGGCAGAUUAGUGCGUUAAAUUUAGAAUUUAGGUAUGUAUUUUUAUUAUACAGGUAAUAC